GUCCAGACCUGGAGACAUGUGGAACCCUCUGGUCAGGUUAUGGCUAUCCCUGCUCACCAAGUCUGGCAACUCAACAUCCAGCAGUGCCCUUGCACUAGUUAAGAAAAAGCAACUGAAUUUGCAAAAGGGAGCUGCAAUGUUGGCUGAAUGUAAGCAGCAGCAGAAUCAAUCCCAUCACUGCCAAGACACAGUUGCUGAUGCAGGAUUCUGAACUUCAGAGGAAACAAAGUAAUUCUCCCUGUGGAGACAUUGAACCUGGCGUGGAACCAGAAAUAACCUGAGAACUUGCUGGUGUUGCAGUCUUCCAAGAGCUGCAAGAAAUAUCCGGGUACCCAGAGGUGGUAGUGAAACUACAGCACCUCGAACACAUGCACCCUGAUUGUAAUUGAUAGCUAUAAGCAUGGAAGAUUUGUCAUUCUUUAUAAAUAUGUUGUUUCAUUCAUUCUUCCAUCCAAUUUCCAUUCAUUCAUUCUGUGGUGGUUUAAAGGAAGGUGGUCCUCACAGG
ensembl:lncRNA